rnacentral:rRNA from 1 species
AAACCAACAGGGAUUGCCUCAGUAACGGCGAGUGAAGCGGCAAAAAGCUCAAAUUUGAAAUCUAACACUUUCAGUGUUCGAGUUGUAAUUUGAAGAAAGUUUCUCUGAGUAGUCCUUUAUCUAUGUUCCUUGGAACAGGACGUCAUAGAGGGUGAGAAUCCCGUAUGAUUUUGGAUACUAUUCUUUGUGAGAUUCUUUCGAAGAGUCGAGUUGUUUGGGAAUGCAGCUCUAAGUGGGUGGUAAAUUCCAUCUAAAGCUAAAUAUUGGCGAGAGACCGAUAGCGAACAAGUACAGUGAUGGAAAGAUGAAAAGAACUCUGAAGAGAGAGUGAAAAAAGUCGUGAAAUUGCUGAAAGGGAAGGGCUUUAGGUCAGACUUGGUGUUUAAAUGAUUAUCUUCUCUUUUUGAGUUGUGCUACUCGUUUUCACUGGGCCAAUAUCAGUUUUGUGGUAGAGCACCUACUGGAAUGUAGCUUUCUUCGGAUGAGUGUUAUAGCCUUUAGGCGAUCUAUUUAC